GAUCAGUGCUAGGAUGAACGCUAGCUACAGGCUUAACACAUGCAAGUCGAGGGGCAGCAUGGUCUUAGCUUGCUAAGGCCGAUGGCGACCGGCGCACGGGUGAGUAACACGUAUCCAACCUGCCGUCUACUCUUGGACAGCCUUCUGAAAGGAAGAUUAAUACAAGAUGGCAUCAUGAGUCCGCAUGUUCACAUGAUUAAAGGUAUUCCGGUAGACGAUGGGG
rnacentral:rRNA from 1 species